GAACCGGAGCUAAUACCGGAUAAUAUAUUGAACCGCAUGGUUCAAUAGUGAAAGACGGUUUUGCUGUCACUUAUAGAUGGAUCCGCGCUGCAUUAGCUAGUUGGUAAGGUAACGGCUUACCAAGGCAACGAUGCGUAGCCGACCUGAGAGGGUGAUCGGCCACACUGGAACUGAGACACGGUCCAG
rnacentral:rRNA from 1 species